UUGACCUCAAAUCAGGUAGGACUACCCGCUGAACUUAAGCAUAUCAAUAAGCGGAGGAAAAGAAACUAACAAGGAUUCCCCUAGUAACUGCGAGUGAAGCGGGAAAAGCUCAAAUUUAAAAUCUGGCGGUCUUGCGGCCGUCCGAGUUGUAAUCUGGAGAAGCGUUUAUCCGCGUCGGACCGUGUACAAGUCUUCUGGAAGGGAGCGUCGUAGAGGGUGAGAAUCCCGUCUUUGACACGGACAACCGGUGCUUUUGUGAUGCGCUCUCGAAGAGUCGAGUUGUUUGGGAAUGCAGCUCAAAAUGGGUGGUAAAUUCCAUCUAAAGCUAAAUAUUGGCGAGAGACCGAUAGCGAACAAGUACCGUGAGGGAAAGAUGAAAAGCACUUUGGAAAGAGAGUUAAACAGUACGUGAAAUUGUUGAAAGGGAAACGUUUGAAGUCAGUCGCGUCGGCCGAGACUCAACCUUGCUUCUGCUCGGUGCACUUCUCGGUUGACGGGUCAGCAUCAAUUUUGACCGCCGGAUAAAGGUCGGGGGAAUGUGGCAUCCUUCGGGAUGUGUUAUAGACCUCGAUUCGGAUACGGCGAUUGGGAUUGAGGAACUCGGCGCUUUGCGUCC
rnacentral:rRNA from 1 species